AACGAACGCUGGCGGCAUGCCUAACACAUGCAAGUCGAACGAGGCCUUCGGGUCUAGUGGCGCACGGGUGCGUAACGCGUGGGAACCUGCCCUUAGGUUCGGAAUAACUCUCCGAAAGGGGUGCUAAUACCGGAUAAUGUCUUCGGACCAAAGAUUUAUCGCCUUUGGAUGGGCCCGCGUUGGAUUAGCUAGUUGGUAGGGUAAAAGCCUACCAAGGCGACGAUCCAUAGCUGGUCUGAGAGGAUGAUCAGCCACACUGGGACUGAGACACGGCCCAGACUCCUACGGGAGGCAGCAGUGGGGAAUAUUGGACAAUGGGCGAAAGCCUGAUCCAGCAAUGCCGCGUGAGUGAUGAAGGCCUUAGGGUUGUAAAGCUCUUUUACCCGGGAUGAUAAUGACAGUACCGGGAGAAUAAGCUCCGGCUAACUCCGUG
rnacentral:rRNA from 1 species